rnacentral:rRNA from 1 species
AUUGAACGCUGGCGGAAUGCUUUACACAUGCAAGUCGAACGGUAGAGGGGGCAACCCCUCGAGAGUGGCGAACGGGUGAGUAAUAUAUCGGAACGUGCCCAGUCGUGGGGGAUAACGUAGCGAAAGUUACGCUAAUACCGCAUACGAUCUAAGGAUGAAAGCGGGGGAUCGCAAGACCUCGCGCGAUUGGAGCGGCCGAUAUCAGAUUAGGUAGUUGGUGGGGUAAAGGCUCACCAAGCCAACGAUCUGUAGCUGGUCUGAGAGGACGACCAGCCCCACUGGAACUGCGACACGGUCCAGACUCCUACGGGAGGCAGCAGUGGGGAAUUUUGGACAAUGGACGCAAGUCUGAUCCAGCCAUUCCGCGUGCAGGAUGAAGGCCCUCGGGUUGUAAACUGCUUUUGUACGGAACGAAAAGGUCUCUCUUAAUACGGGGGGCUCAUGACGGUACCGUAAGAAUAAGCACCGGCUAACUACGUGCCAGCCGCCGCAGUAA